UACGUAGGGGGCAAGCGUUGUCCGGAUUUAUUGGGCGUAAAGAGCGUGUAGGCGGCCAGGUAGGUCAGCUGUGAAAACUCGAGGCUCAACCUCGAGACGCCGGUUGAAACCAUCUGGCUAGAGUCCGGAAGAGGAGAGUGGAAUUCCUGGUGUAGCGGUGAAAUGCGCAGAUAUCAGAAAGAACACCCGUGGCUAAGGCGGCUCUCUGGGCCGAUACUGACGCUGAGGAGCGAAAGCGUGGGGAGCGAACAGG
rnacentral:rRNA from 1 species